rnacentral:tRNA from 1 species
CGGGGUGGCUCAGAUGGUUAGAGCGCCGGACUCAUAGCUCCGCUAUGAGUGCUGACCUCAGGGAUGAUGGGAAAUCCGGAGAUCGCGGGUUCGAGUCCCGCCCCCGGCACCA